UCCAGACUCCUACGGGAGGCAGCAGUGAGGAAUAUUGGUCAAUGGGCGGAAGCCUGAACCAGCCAAGUCGCGUGAGGGAAUAAGGCCCUACGGGUCGUAAACCUCUUUUGCCGGGGAGCAAGGGCGGGGACGUGUCCCGGCCCGGAGAGUACCCGGAGAAAAAGCAUCGGCUAACUCCGUGCCAGCAGCCGCGGUAAUACGGAGGAUGCGAGCGUUAUCCGGAUUUAUUGGGUUUAAAGGGUGCGUAGGCGGGCUUUUAAGUCAGCGGUAAAAAUUCGGGGCUCAACCCCGUCCGGCCGUUGAAACUGUGUCCCUUGAGUGCGCGAAGGGUAGGCGGAAUGCGUGGUGUAGCGGUGAAAUGCAUAGAUAUCACGCAGAACUCCGAUCGCGAAGGCAGCCUACCGGCGCGCAACUGACGCUCAUGCACGAAAGCGUGGGUAUCGAACAGGAUUAGAUACCCUAGUA
rnacentral:rRNA from 1 species